CUGGCUGCUUUGUUUACCUUAGCAAGCCUGGGCAAUGGCGGGCGCCCCUCCCCCAGCCCCGCUGCCGCCUUGCAGUUUGAUCUGAGACUGCUGUGCUAGCAAUCAGCGAGACUCCGUGGGGUAGGACCCUCCGAGCCAGGUGCGGGACAUAAUCUCGUGGUGCGCCCUUUUGAAGCCCGUCGGAAAAGCGCAGUAGUCGGGUGGGAGUGACCCGAUUUUCCAGGUGCGUCCGUCACCCCUUUCUUUGACUUGGAAAGGGAACUCCCUGACCCCUUGCGCUUCCGAAGUGAGACAAUGCCUCGCCCUGCUUUGGCUCGCGCACGGUGCGCGCACCCACUGACCUGCGCCCCCUGUCUGGCACUCCCUAGUGAGAUGAACCCGGUACCUCAGAUGGAAAUGCUGAAAUCACCGGUCUUCUGCGUCGCUCACACUGGGAGCUGUAGACCGGAGCUGUUCCUAUUUGGCCAUCUUGGCUCCUCCCUAUGAACUCUUUUUUACAGUCAAGGUAUUGCUGUUACCCUCACUGGAAUGCAGUGGUGUGAUCCUAGUUUACUGCUGCCUCAAACUCCUGGGCUCCAGCAAUCAUCUUGCCUCAGCCACAUGAGUAACUGCGACUACAGGUGCACCACCACCUCCAGAGACAGAGUCUCACUCUUCACUCGGGCUGCAGUGCAGUGGAGCAAUAGUUGCUCACUGUAACCUCAAACUCCUGGGCCUAAGCAAUCCUCUGGCCUCAGCUUCCUGAGUGACUAGGACCACAGGUGAGAGCCACCUCA